GUCGGGUAAGUUCCGACCUGCACGAAUGGCGUAAUGAUGGCCAGGCUGUCUCCACCCGAGACUCAGUGAAAUUGAACUCGCUGUGAAGAUGCAGUGUACCCGCGGCAAGACGGAAAGACCCCGUGAACCUUUACUAUAGCUUGACACUGAACAUUGAGCCUUGAUGUGUAGGAUAGGUGGGAGGCUUUGAAGUGUGGACGCCAGUCUGCAUGGAGCCGACCUUGAAAUACCACCCUUUAAUGUUUGAUGUUCUAACGUGGACCCGUGAUCCGGGUUGCGGACAGUGUCUGGUGGGUAGUUUGACUGGGGCGGUCUCCUCCUAAAGAGUAACGGAGGAGCACGAAGGUUGGCUAAUCCUGGUCGGACAUCAGGAGGUUAGUGCAAUGGCAUAAGCCAGCUUGACUGCGAGCGUGACGGCGCGAGCAGGUGCGAAAGCAGGUCAUAGUGAUCCGGUGGUUCUGAAUGGAAGGGCCAUCGCUCAACGGAUAAAAGGUACUCCGGGGAUAACAGGCUGAUACCGCCCAAGAGUUCAUAUCGACGGCGGUGUUUGGCACCUCGAUGUCGGCUCAUCACAUCCUGGGGCUGAAGUAGGUCCCAAGGGUAUGGCUGUUCGCCAUUUAAAGUGGUACGCGAGCUGGGUUUAGAACGUCGUGAGACAGUUCGGUCCCUAUCUGCCGUGGGCGCUGGAGAACUGAGGGGGGCUGCUCCUAGUACGAGAGGACCGGAGUGGACGCAUCACUGGUGUUCGGGUUGUCAUGCCAAUGGCACUGCCCGGUAGCUAAAUGCGGAAGAGAUAAGUGCUGAAAGCAUCUAAGCACGAAACUUGCC
rnacentral:rRNA from 1 species